AGAGUUUGAUCAUGGCUCAGAAUCAACGCUGGCGGCGUGCCUAACACAUGCAAGUCGAACGCGAAAGUGGAGCAAUCCAUGAGUAGAGUGGCAAACGGGUGAGUAACGCGUGGGCGACCUACCUCAGAGUGGGGGAUAACCUUCCGAAAGGAGGGCUAAUACCGCAUGACAUACCGUGUUUGGAUACACGGAUAUCAAAGCCGGGGAUCGCAAGACCUGGCGCUUGGAGAGGGGCCCGCGUCCGAUUAGCUAGUUGGUGAGGUAACGGCUCACCAAGGCUCCGAUCGGUAUCCGGCCUGAGAGGGCGGACGGACACACUGGAACUGAGACACGGUCCAGACUCUUACGGGAGGCAGCAGUGGGGAAUUGUUCACAAUGGGCGCAAGCCUGAUGACGCAACGCCGCGUGGAGGAUGAAGACUUUCGGGUCGUAAACUCCUUUCGACCGAGAUGAAUUUCCGCCGACCUAACACGUCGGCGGGGUGACAGUAUCGAGGGAAGAAGCCCCGGCUAACUCCGUGCCAGCAGCCGCGGUAAUACGGGGGGGGCAAGCGUUGUUCGGAAUUACUGGGCGUAAAGGGUUCGUAGGUGGCCUGCUAAGUCACACGUGAAAUCCCUCAGCUUAACUGGGGAACUGCGUGUGAUACUGGCGAGCUUGAGUGCAGGAGAGGAACGCGGAAUUCCAGGUGUAGCGGUGAAAUG
rnacentral:rRNA from 1 species